ACGGAGGGUGCGAGCGUUAAUCGGAAUAACUGGGCGUAAAGCGCACGUAGGCGGUGUCGUAAGUCGGAUGUGAAAGCCCUCGGCUCAACCGGGGAACUGCAUUAGAUACUGCGACGCUUGAGUGCCGGAGAGGGUAGCGGAAUUCCAGGUGUAGGGGUGAAAUCCGAAGAUACCGGGAGGAACACCUGUGGCGAAGGCGCCUAACUGGCCGGCACCUGACGGUGAGGUGCGAAAGCCUGGGGCGCAAACCG
rnacentral:rRNA from 1 species